GAAAAAAUAAUAUGCAGAUUGAUCUGCAAUCUCCAAUCACCGUUAAAAAUGCAUAAGAAAUAAUAGUAUUAAAAAAUUAAGAAAACAGCAUGGAGAAAAAUUUAUGUGACAAAAAAACUGAUCUGCAUGUAAUAGGGAAAAAUUGGCUGGUCAAAUACAGGAGCUCAAUGAAAGAUUUUCUUUGAUUAUUUUUUAAACAACUACCUUUUCUCUUUUACUUAUCCAUAUUUCAUCUACUCUGUUAAAAUAGAGUCCUAAUUAAACCCUACCAUGGGAUAUUUUAAUUUUGGACUUAUUCGACAUAUUAUCACUUAACAUACAGUCCCUUUAAUUUACACGCUCUUCUUUAUACAAUAAUUUAUGAUGACCCAUAU
rnacentral:lncRNA from 1 species